UUACCUAGCGGCGGACGGGUGAGUAAUGCUUAGGAAUCUGCCUAUUAGUGGGGGACAACAUUCCGAAAGGAAUGCUAAUACCGCAUACGUCCUACGGGAGAAAGCAGGGGAUCUUCGGACCUUGCGCUAAUAGAUGAGCCUAAGUCGGAUUAGCUAGUUGGUGGGGUAAAGGCCUACCAAGGCGACGAUCUGUAGCGGGUCUGAGAGGAUGAUCCGCCACACUGGGACUGAGACACGGCCCAGACUCCUACGGGAGGCAGCAGUGGGGAAUAUUGGACAAUGGGCGGAAGCCUGAUCCAGCCAUGCCGCGUGUGUGAAGAAGGCCUUUUGGUUGUAAAGCACUUUAAGCGAGGAGGAGGCUUACCAAGCUAAUAUCUUGGAUAAGUGGACGUUACUCGCAGAAUAAGCACCGGCUAACUCUGUGCCAGCAGCCGCGGUAAUACAGAGGGUGCGAGCGUUAAUCGGAUUUACUGGGCGUAAAGCGUGCGUAGGCGGCUUAUUAAGUCGGAUGUGAAAUCCCCGAGCUUAACUUGGGAAUUGCAUUCGAUACUGGUGAGCUAGAGUAUGGGAGAGGAUGGUAGAAUUCCAGGUGUAGCGGUGAAAUGCGUAGAGAUCUGGAGGAAUACCGAUGGCGAAGGCAGCCAUCUGGCCUAAUACUGACGCUGAGGUACGAAAGCAUGGGGAGCAAACAGGAUUAGAUACCCUGGUAGUCCAUGCCGUAAACGAUGUCUACU
rnacentral:rRNA from 1 species